rnacentral:rRNA from 1 species
GGUGACCUCGGAUCAG